rnacentral:rRNA from 1 species
GACGAACGCUGGCGGCGUGCCUAACACAUGCAAGUCGAACGGGGUUGAGUGCUUCGGUAUUCAACCUAGUGGCGAACGGGUGAGUAACGCGUGAAGAACCUGCCUUUCAGUGGGGGACAACAGUUGGAAACGACUGCUAAUACCGCAUGACGCUUCUUGGGGGCAUCCCCGAGAAGUCAAAGCUUUAUGUGCUGAAAGAUGGCUUCGCGUCUGAUUAGCUAGAUGGCGGGGUAACGGCCCACCAUGGCGACGAUCAGUAGCCGGUCUGAGAGGAUGAACGGCCACAUUGGGACUGAGAUACGGCCCAGACUCCUACGGGAGGCAGCAGUGGGGAAUAUUGGGCAAUGGGGGAAACCCUGACCCAGCAACGCCGCGUGAAGGAAGAAGGCCUUCGGGUUGUAAACUUCUUUUACAGGGACGAAGGACGUGACGGUACCUGGAGAAAAAGCAACGGCUAACUACGUGCCAGCCGCCGCAGUAA